UUUUUUUUUCUCUUCUUUUGUGAACAGGGGAAUAGUAUGGGUUUUUUUUUUUUGUUCGGAAUAGGUUUGAGAAUUCAAAAACGGGCGUCUUUUUUUUUCAUUGAGAGAUAUUUAUGGGACUAGUCGUAACUGUCCUGGAGAACGUGCGUAUGGUGCGUGCGUAUGGGAGAGGUGGGAAGUUACGAUAUAGGAUAAUGGG
rnacentral:lncRNA from 1 species